AUCAUCUGCAAACAAAAAAUUAUGAGCCAGCACUUUCCACUUUGGUGUCAUUGUGAUAGCUGACUAAUUCCAUGUUUGUCCUCAUUGAAGGGGGUUUUAAGCAUGAGGAGUCAAAAAAGUUAGCACAGGGAUAAUUGGCUUGAAAUGGCUAAGUGUUCAUAGUGAUGUUUCUUUUUAAUCCUUCAAUAUCUGUUCUUACUAUCAUUGUGAAGCAGAAUUCACCAAUCACUGGAUUGUUCACCCACUAAUAGGAAACAUGAGCUGGGAUUACACAGUUGUGAGGCAGGUUAGUUUUACCCUACUGAGGAGAGAUUAUCACCAUAGUAAUCCUGCGCUCAACACAAGAGGAGCUACAGAUCUAUGUGCUUGGUUGAGGAGUCAGUAGAGUAAAGCUACCAUCUGUGGGAUUAUGACUGAACAUCUCUAAGUCAGAAGCCCUUCUAAGUGUGACAAUGCCUCA
rfam:Sarcophilus harrisii ctg7180001370538, whole genome shotgun sequence.